rnacentral:rRNA from 1 species
AGGUAAGCUACUAAGAGCGAAUGGUGGAUGCCUUGACUGGUAAAGGCGAUGAAGGACGUACUAGACUGCGAUAAGCUACGGGGAGCUGUCAAGAAGCUUUGAUCCGUAGAUUUCCGAAUGGGGCAACCCAAUGUAUAGAGAUAUACAUUACCUAUAUAGGAGCGAACGAGGGGAAUUGAAACAUCUUAGUACCCUCAGGAAAAGAAAUCAAUAGAGAUUGCGUCAGUAGCGGCGAGCGAAAGCGCAAGAGGGCAAACCCAGUGCUUGCACUGGGGGUUGUAGGACUGCAAUGUGCAAGAGGUAAGUUUAGCAGAACAUUCUGGAAAGUAUAACCAUAGAGGGUGAUAGUCCCGUAUGCGAAAAACAAACCUUAGCUAGCAGUAUCCUGAGUAGGGCGGGACACGAGGAAUCCUGUCUGAAUCCGGGUCGACCACGAUCCAACCCUAAAUACUAAUACCAGAUCGAUAGUGCACAAGUACCGUGAGGGAAAGGUGAAAAGAACUGAGGUGAUCAGAGUGAAAUAGAACCUGAAACCAUUUGCUUACAAUCAUUCAGAGCCCUAUGUAGCAAUACAGGGUGAUGGACUGCCUUUUGCAUAAUGAGCCUGCGAGUUGUGGUGUCUGGCAAGGUUAAGCAAACGCGAAGCCGUAGCGAAAGCGAGUCUGAAUAGGGCGCUUAGUCAGAUGCUGCAGACCCGAAACGAAGUGAUCUAUCCAUGAGCAAGUUGAAGCUAGUGUAAGAACUAGUGGAGGACUGAACCCAUAGGCGUUGAAAAGCCCCGGGAUGACUUGUGGAUAGGGGUGAAAGGCCAAUCAAACUUCGUGAUAGCUGGUUCUCUCCGAAAUAUAUUUAGGUAUAGCGUUGUGUCGUAAUAUAAGGGGGUAGAGCACUGAAUGGGCUAGGGCAUACACCAAUGUACCAAACCCUAUCAAACUCCGAAUACCUUAUAUGUAAUCACAGCAGUCAGGCGGCGAGUGAUAAAAUCCGUCGUCAAGAGGGAAACAACCCAGACUACCAGCUAAGGUCCCUAAAUCUUACUUAAGUGGAAAACGAUGUGAAGUUACUUAAACAACCAGGAGGUUGGCUUAGAAGCAGCCAUCCUUUAAAGAAAGCGUAAUAGCUCACUGGUCUAGUGAUUUUGCGCGGAAAAUAUAACGGGGCUAAAGUAAGUACCGAAGCUGUAGACUUAGUUUACUAAGUGGUAGGAGAGCGUUCUAUUUGCGUCGAAGGUAUACCGGUAAGGAGUGCUGGAGCGAAUAGAAGUGAGCAUGCAGGCAUGAGUAGCGAUAAUUAAUGUGAGAAUCAUUAACGCCGUAAACCCAAGGUUUCCUACGCGAUGCUCGUCAUCGUAGGGUUAGUCGGGUCCUAAGUCGAGUCCGAAAGGGGUAGACGAUGGCAAAUUGGUUAAUAUUCCAAUACCAACAUUAGUGUGCGAUGGAAGGACGCUUAGGGCUAAGGGGGCUAGCGGAUGGAAGUGCUAGUCUAAGGUCGUAGGAGGUUGUACAGGCAAAUCCG